rnacentral:rRNA from 1 species
GCAAGUCUAGGAGCACUUCGUAGCGACUGGCGCACGGGUGGUAAAACGUAGGUCAUCUGCCCCUAUCACAGGCAUAACAUCGGGAAACCGGUGCUAAUAUCUGAUGAGGUCUUGCGAUCAAAGCCUUCGGGCGGAUAGGGAUGAGCCUGCGGCUGAUUAGCUAGUUGGUGAGGUAAUGGCUCACCAAGGCGACGAUCAGUAGCUGGACUGAGAGGUCGAGC